rnacentral:lncRNA from 1 species
AACCUUCACAAAUUAUCUUUAACAUAGCAGCGGAAAAUCAUAAACAUAAAUCGUAAAUGUUUUGGCACGCAGGCCCAACAAGUAUCUCAAAAGAGUUUAUCAAGCAUAAAAUAUCAUGGCAGUUCACGUAAAAGAAUGAAGCAUGUUAUAGCAUAUAACCCCAUCCCGUUACGUAUCAGAGCGACCUAGACGACACAGUGAAGGCAAGGCCACUCACGACGGCAACUGCACACUAAGCACGAUCACCU